rnacentral:rRNA from 1 species
AGAGUUUGAUCCUGGCUCAGGAUGAACGCUAGCGGGAGGCUUAACACAUGCAAGUCGAGGGGCAGCAUGGGGUAGCAAUACCCUGAUGGCGACCGGCAGACGGGUGAGUAACGCGUAUGUAACCUACCCUGUACAGGGGGAUAACCCGGAGAAAUUCGGACUAAUAUCCCAUAACAAUAUUCGGAGGCAUCUUUGGAUAUUUAAAGUUCCGGCGGUACGGGAUGGGCAUGCGUAACAUUAGCUAGUUGGUAAGGUAACGGCUUACCAAGGCUUUGAUGUUUAGGGGUCCUGAGAGGGUGGUCCCCCACACUGGUACUGAGACACGGACCAGACUCCUACGGGAGGCAGCAGUGAGGAAUAUUGGUCAAUGGGCGCAAGCCUGAACCAGCCAUCCCGCGUGCAGGAAGACGGCCCUAUGGGUUGUAAACUGCUUUUCCAGGGGGAGAAACUUGCGCACGUGUUGCGCAAUUGACGGUACCCUGGGAAUAAGCAUCGGCUAACUCCGUGCCAGCAGCCGCGGUAAUACGGAGGAUGCGAGCGUUAUCCGGAUUCAUUGGGUUUAAAGGGUGCGUAGGCGGACUAUUAAGUCAGUGGUGAAAUCCUGCAGCUUAACUGCAGAACUGCCAUUGAUACUGAUAGCCUUGAGUUUGGUUAAGGUAGGCGGAAUGUGUAAUGUAGCGGUGAAAUGCUUAGAUAUUACACAGAACACCAAUUGCGUAGGCAGCUUACUGAGCCGACACUGACGCUGAGGCACGAAAGCGUGGGGAUCGAACAGGAUUAGAUACCCUGGUAGUCCACGCCGUAAACGAUGAUCACUCGUUGUUGGCGAUACACAGUCAGCGGCUAAGCGAAAGUGAUAAGUGAUCCACCUGGGGAGUACGAUCGCAAGGUUGAAACUCAAAGGAAUUGACGG